rnacentral:rRNA from 1 species
AUUGAACGCUGGCGGCAGGCCUAACACAUGCAAGUCGAACGAGUGGCGUACGGGUGAGUAAUGUCUGGGAAACUGCCCGAUGGAUGGGGAUAACUACUGGAAACGGUAGCUAAUACCGCAUCCCAUCGGAUGUGCCCAGAUGGGAUUAGCUAGUAGGUGGGGUAACGGCUCACCUAGGCGACGAUCCCUAGCUGGUCUGAGAGGAUGACCAGCAACACUGGAACUGAGACACGGGCCAGACUCCUACGGGAGGCAGCAGUGGGGAAUAUUGCACAAUGGGCGUAAGCCUGAUGCAGCCAUGCCGCGUGUAUGAAGAAGGCCUUCGGGUUGUAAAGUACUUUAAGCGGGGAGGCGUUACCCGCAGAAGAAGCACCGGCUAACUCCGUGCCAGCAGCCGCGGUAAUAC